rnacentral:misc_RNA from 1 species
AAAAAAUCUAGCCUAGGUGGCGAAGCCCAGUGUUUUGUGAAAUAUUGUGUUUUGUCAUCAGAAUGCCAACCUUUUGUGAACCGAACUUGUCUCUGGCAGGGGGGUAGUGAAAACUACCUGUUAGUAUUGCUUUUUGCAGUGCCGUGAACAUCCUGCCAAACACUUGCAAACUUUUGAUUUUAAUUUUUGUCUGACACAAUAUGUAUUAAUAUACAAAA